rnacentral:rRNA from 1 species
GGGUUGUGAGGUUAAGCGACUAAGCGUACACGGUGGAUGCCUAGGCAAUCAGAGGCGAUGAAGGACGUGCUAAUCUGCGAAAAGCGUCGGUAAGGUGAUAUGAACCGUUAUAGCCGACGAUGUCCGAAUGGGGAAACCCAGUGCAAUUCGUUGCACUAUCGUUUGAUGAAUCCAUAGUCAAACGAGGCGAACCGGGGGAACUGAAACAUCUCAGUACCCCGAGGAAAAGAAAUCAACCGAGAUUCCCCUAGUAGCGGCGAGCGAACGGGGAGCAGCCCAGAGUCUUAAUCAGUAUCAGCAUCAGGAGAACGGUCUGGAAAGGCCGGCAAUAAAGGGUGAUAGCCCCGUAUCCGAAGGUGUUGGUGUUGUGAACUCGACGAGUAGGGCGGGACACGUGUUAUCCUGUCUGAAUAUGGGGGGACCAUCCUCCAAGGCUAAAUACUCCUGAUUGACCGAUAGUGAACCAGUACCGUGAGGGAAAGGCGAAAAGAACCCCGGCGAGGGGAGUGAAAUAGAACCUGAAACCGUGUACGUACAAGCAGUGGGAGCCUUGAUUUAUCAGGGUGACUGCGUACCUUUUGUAUAAUGGGUCAGCGACUUAUAUUCUGUAGCAAGGUUAACCGAAUAGGGGAGCCGUAGGGAAACCGAGUCUUAACUGGGCGAAUGAGUUGCAGGGUAUAGACCCGAAACCCGGUGAUCUAGCCAUGGGCAGGUUGAAGGUUGGGUAACACUAACUGGAGGACCGAACCGACUAAUGUUGAAAAAUUAGCGGAUGACUUGUGGCUGGGGGUGAAAGGCCAAUCAAACCGGGAGAUAGCUGGUUCUCCCCGAAAGCUAUUUAGGUAGCGCCUCGUGAACUCAUCUUCGGGGGUAGAGCACUGUUUCGGCUAGGGGGUCAUCCCGACUUACCAACCCGAUGCAAACUACGAAUACCGAAGAAUGUUAUCACGGGAGACACACGGCGGGUGCUAACGUUCGUCGUGAAGAGGGAAACAACCCAGACCGCCAGCUAAGGUCCCAAAGUCAUGGUUAAGUGGGAAACGAAGUGGGAAGGCUCAGACAGCCAGGAUGUUGGCUUAGAAGCAGCCAUCAUUUAAAGAAAGCGUAAUAGCUCACUGGUCGAGUCGGCCUGCGCGGAAGAUGUAACGGGGCUAAACCAUGCACCGAAGCUGCGGCAGCGACAUGUAAAUGUUGUUGGGUAGGGGAGCGUUCUGUAAGCCUGUGAAGGUGUGCUGCGAGGCAUGCUGGAGGUAUCAGAAGUGCGAAUGCUGACAUAAGUAACGAUAAUGCGGGUGAAAAACCCGCACGCCGGAAGACCAAGGGUUCCUGUCCAACGUUAAUCGGGGCAGGGUGAGUCGACCCCUAAGGCGAGGCAGAAAUGCGUAGUCGAUGGGAAACAGGUUAAUAUUCCUGUACUGGUGAUAAUUGCGAUGGGGGGACGGAGAAGGCUAGGCUAGCCGGGCGACGGUUGUCCCGGUUUAAGGAUGUAGGUGGGUGAAUUAGGCAAAUCCGGUUCACUAUACACUGAGGUCUGAUGACGAGUCACUACGGUGGCGAAGUAGCUCAUGCCCCGCUUCCAGGAAAAGCCUCUAAGCUCUAGAUUAUCAUUAAUCGUACCCCAAACCGACACAGGUGGUCAGGUAGAGAAUACUCAGGCGCUUGAGAGAACUCGGGUGAAGGAACUAGGCAAAAUGGUGCCGUAACUUCGGGAGAAGGCACGCUGGCACUAGGUGAAGUCCCUUGCGAAUGGAGCCGAAGCCAGUCGCAGAUACCAGCUGGCUGCAACUGUUUAUUAAAAACACAGCACUGUGCAAACACGAAAGUGGACGUAUACGGUGUGACGCCUGCCCGGUGCUGGAAGGUUAAUUGAUGGGGUUAUCCGUAAGGAGAAGCUCUUGAUCGAAGCCCCAGUAAACGGCGGCCGUAACUAUAACGGUCCUAAGGUAGCGAAAUUCCUUGUCGGGUAAGUUCCGACCUGCACGAAUGGCGUAAUGAUGGCCAGGCUGUCUCCACCCGAGACUCAGUGAAAUUGAACUCGCUGUGAAGAUGCAGUGUACCCGCGGCAAGACGGAAAGACCCCGUGAACCUUUACUAUAGCUUGACACUGAACAUUGAGCCUUGAUGUGUAGGAUAGGUGGGAGGCUUUGAAGUGUGGACGCCAGUCUGCAUGGAGCCAACCUUGAAAUACCACCCUUUAAUGUUUGAUGUUCUAACGUCGCCCCGUAAUCCGGGGUGCGGACAGUGUCUGGUGGGUAGUUUGACUGGGGCGGUCUCCUCCCAAAGCGUAACGGAGGAGCACGAAGGUUGGCUAAGCAUGGUCGGACAUCAUGCGGUUAGUGCAAAGGCAUAAGCCAGCUUGACUGCGAGAGUGACGGCUCGAGCAGGUACGAAAGUAGGUCUUAGUGAUCCGGUGGUUCUGAAUGGAAGGGCCAUCGCUCAACGGAUAAAAGGUACUCCGGGGAUAACAGGCUGAUACCGCCCAAGAGUUCAUAUCGACGGCGGUGUUUGGCACCUCGAUGUCGGCUCAUCACAUCCUGGGGCUGAAGUAGGUCCCAAGGGUAUGGCUGUUCGCCAUUUAAAGUGGUACGCGAGCUGGGUUUAGAACGUCGUGAGACAGUUCGGUCCCUAUCUGCCGUGGGCGUUGGAAGAUUGAAAGGGGCUGCUCCUAGUACGAGAGGACCGGAGUGGACGCACCGCUGGUGUUCGGGUUGUCAUGCCAAUGGCACUGCCCGGUAGCUAAGUGCGGAAGAGAUAACCGCUGAAAGCAUCUAAGCGGGAAACUUGCCUUGAGAUGAGUCUUCCCUGACUCUUUAAGGGUCCUAAAGGAACGUUUAAGACGAAGACGUUGAUAGGCUGGGUGUGUAAGCGUAGCGAUACGUUGAGCUAACCAGUACUAAUGAACCGUGAGGCUUAACCUGACAACACCGAAGGUGUUUUAG